rnacentral:rRNA from 1 species
UACGUAGGGGUCAAGCGUUGUCCGGAUUUAUUGGGCGUCAAGCGCGUGUAGGCGGCCAGGUAGGUCCGCUGUGAAAACCCGAGGCUCAACCUCGGGACGUCGGCGGAAACCAUUUGGCUAGAGUCCGGAAGAGGAGAGUGGAAUUCCCGGUGUAGCGGUGAAAUGCGCAGAUAUCGGGAAGAACACCCGUGGCGAAGGCGGCUCUCUGGGACGGUACUGACGCUGAGACGCGAAAGCGUGGGGAGCGAACAGG